GCAAAUAACUGCUUGCUCCGAUGCCUGAUAUCAUAGAACUACGACCUGACAAGGGUCUUAUGUACCCCAACUUCGAAAAAUAUCAAUUUCUUGACGACCCAAUACUUAUACUAGAAAAAGAUCUGGAGAAAGAGGUGUUACGAGUUGAACCAAGUAGUUCUCAAGAUUCCUGGCUUGAAGCAAGGUCUUUUGCUUACCAUAAUCAUUUGUACAAAAAUCCAUUCAACGGCAAGUGUUAUUUUGUCAACAAAGAUAUUGAAUUAUGGAAAUUGGAUGCAAAUGGUUGUUUAGAGUUGGUACACACGCUGACCAAAAUCUCAACCGAAUCCAGUGCCCCGGUUUACAAUCCAUCCCUGAGUUUUGCUUCGGAAAACAUCAUAGUUGGCUCUAAUGGAUGUAAAAAUUUGGAAAUAAUUAUUAAGAAUGACUCAAGACCGUUAUUAACAUUCGUGUUUGACGAUAUAGAUGCUGGUAUAAUUUUAGAUUCAGUGUACGUUAAAGAUAAAUCAAUAAUCAAUAUUGUAAUGUGCUUCAUAACUGAACUUGACAGCAAGAAACAUUCUGAAGUUGUUUUGUAUACAUAUUCUUUACCAGUUAUUGAUACAGUGGGUUCAGAACCUUCAUCACUGGAUGUUAAAUUUAUUGGAAAGAGGAUCUUGAGGAUGAAAGGAGCUGUUGAGUAUGCUAAUUUAGAAUCAAACGGAAAUUAUUUACAUUUAAUGAGUCAAGACUCUGCUACCUUUGUUUACGAUUCUUUAAGAUCAGUGACAAAGGAAAUUCCAGUAGAAGGCAAUCAAGAGAUUAAUAUUCCAAAAUACUGCUGGUCUCAGGAUGAAGAUUCGCUUACCGUUUGGUUGAAAGUUUUCGAUGGCAUUGAUAAGAGUCAAAUCAAAGUUGACGUCAAGCCAAAUAAUAUUGUCAUAAAAUAUGAAGAUCAGAUAUUGAUGGCUGGGGAAAGUGGGCAUAGAUUGGAUCCAGAUUUAACAACUUGGUCACACGAGAAAGAUUCGCUAAAAAUAGAUUUAUUCAAAAAUGAGACAGGUUUAAUGUGGAAUGAAUUAAUUAAAGGAGACACUGGCGGUGAAUGCUUACCGAAUGAGGCUUUAGCAGCUGAAGUUCACAGCAGAUUAGCCUAUUUAUGCACUGAAGAGCCAGGAAUUGGAGGUGGGCAUCCGAUGUUGGGAUUCAACUCAGAGCAGCUUGAAGAAUGUGACAUUCAAGAGAAAGAAAAUCAAUUCCAAAGAAUUGAUAUCGACUCUCACAAGACUACUCAUUUAGUGAUUUUAGGUGCAAACAACCGAGUAUUGUUUACACAAAGAGUCAAACACGGCCAGGUGUUGUGUUUGAGACAUGAUCACGACGGCUGUGUUUGGGUUGCUGGUGAAAGUAAUGAUGAACAUUGGGGAUUAAAGCAUAUUUCUACAUUCCCUGGAUUUGGAUACGUUGAGGCAAGCAAGACUAACAAAAAGUUUUGCGUCUCUCCCCCUAAUGGGUCGUACGUAGCUAUAGUAGAGCAUGCAAGGCACGUUUUUCUCUAUGAAAAACCAAUUGGAAACUCACAAAUAGGACAUCAGCGCAUCGUAGAUUUGGGGUGUGAAGCACAAGCCAAUCCUGUUUUGGGUGCUGCAGCUUCAAACCAUUAUCUAUAUCUAUUGACCAAGAAUAAAUUAUACCAAUUGCAGGUGAAUCCUUAGAUGUAUGCAGCUCAAGUUUUAACUUAAUGGUAGUGAAAGUAACAGUUUUCUGUAAAAAUAUACCAAAGGUUGAAAUUUAAAUAACGCAUCUUUUUUGCAUGUUUUUUUAACAUUCCAUGGCAAAGAAACAGGGUAUACGAAAAAUAUUCUUGUUUGACAAGUAAUCUUUGGAUGAUGUUAAAUUUGAAUGUGUCAGGAACAUUGAAAGAAACUCGCGUAAUAUUAAAUAAUAAUUACAAAUUUAUUUUGUAAUAUAAUUGAUUGAGAAAAAUAAAUAUCUUUUUUACUGUACGUGAAAAUAACUGAAACGUAGAAUAACAAUAACAAUUCCUUACAAUUAAAAGCAGCACAGCUAUUUGAAUAUCUUGACCUUUGAAAUUGAGAAUGAUUUGCCAAUAGUUGCUACUAUGCAUCACACAUCAAGUCUCACUCAUUUCAUAGUCAUUUUCA